rnacentral:rRNA from 1 species
GAUGAACGCUAGCGGCGGGCCUAACACAUGCAAGUCGAACGGUAACAUGAGUAGCAAUACUUGAUGACGAGUGGCGCACGGGUGCGUAACGCGUAUGCAACUUACCUCUAACUGGAGAAUAGCCUUCCGAAAGGAAGAAUAAUACUCCAUAAUAUUACGAUGUGGCAUCACAUUGUUCUUAAAGCUUCGGCGGUUAGAGAUGGGCAUGCGUCUGAUUAGCUUGUUGGUGAGGUAACGGCUCACCAAGGCAACGAUCAGUAGGGGGCCUGAGAGGGUUAUCCCCCACACUGGUACUGAGACACGGACCAGACUCCUACGGGAGGCAGCAGUGGGGAAUAUUGGACAAUGGGGGCAACCCUGAUCCAGCCAUGCCGCGUGUGUGAAGAAGGCCUU